CAGUAGCCACGGGAAUACGGAGGGUGCAAGCGUUAAUCGGAAUUACUGGGCGUAAAGCGCACGCAGGCGGUCUGUCAAGUCGGAUGUGAAAUCCCCGGGCUCAACCUGGGAACUGCAUUCGAAACUGGCAGGCUAGAGUCUUGUAGAGGGGGGUAGAAUUCCAGGUGUAGCGGUGAAAUGCGUAGAGAUCUGGAGGAAUACCGGUGGCGAAGGCGGCCCCCUGGACAAAGACUGACGCUCAGGUGCGAAAGCGUGGGGAGCAAACAGGAUUAGAUACCCGCGUAGUCCCUGUCUCUUAUAC
rnacentral:rRNA from 1 species